UCACAUGUAAAAAAUAAUCCUAAAUAUUAAAAUAAUGGAUUAAUUUUAUGUAAACAUAAUAAAUUACAGAUAUAUUUUUACAAAGUUCAACUUUUAUAUAUUGUUGCUAUAAAAGUUGUGAUAUUUUCAAAUAUAUUUUUCUGAUUUGUUACCGUUAAAACACAUAAGUGAAAUAUAUUCUUUUGAUCUUUUUUAACAGCAGAUAAGUAAAAUUACAUUUUUGCUAUCACAAAUAUAUCCCUUCCAAAAGCCACAACAGUUAUAAUUGUACAAAAAUAUCCCCCAAAUUGUCGCAACCUUUUCUAUUUAUGAUUAAAUUUUGUUUGUGAAAUUUUUAAAAUGGUUCAAUUAUGAUUCUUAAAUUAUGAAUUAAUCCAUAUACAAGAUUGAAAAUAAAACUUCUAAAAACUGCAGGUGAAAUGGAACCAAACUGAAUUGUUAGGAUCGGUUCCAAAAAUAAAUCGGUUUGGUUCGAUUAUAAAUUUUUGCAAACUAAAAUAUUUGAUUCGAUUUGAAAGUCUUGUAAAAAAAACCAAACUAAACCGAUCCCAUUACACCUCUACCAUCCAUAGUGUCCUACUAGUCACACCACUGGUAAAAAAAUUCAUUCCCACAAAAAUUAUUUUUUGAAAAAGAAAAAUAACAUGCUAUCUUAUUUCAUUUAUUUUUUAAAAAAUAAAUUUAGUUAAAUAUGCGAUUGUGAUUUACCACUCAUGCUAGAUACGGUGGUGUAGAAUAAUAGAUUUAGGUUGGAUAAAAUCUACAUGUUACAACUUAUGAUGAUAAUUUUGGUAAAAAAGUAUAGAAUGCAUUAGUUAUAUUACUGAUGCGAUUUUCUUAAUUAAUCAGAUUUUUUUUUAUUUACUCAUUCCAUUAUAGUUUUUUAAAAAAUAUUUUUAUUAUAUAUAUUUUUAAAAGUGUAGAGCUACUACGCUAUCGAAAGUAUAGAUGAUCUGAUCCUUCCAACUUUUUGACAAUUGGAUAAAAAAUUAUACGGUUGGGAGAAUUACAGUCCCUCCAGGAUUGAGUAGUAUUCCUAGAGUUGAGUGGUCCCCACAUGAUAAUAGUAUUAAUUCAAAGACUAGAAAUGAUCAAAAGAGUUGAUUUAAGUGUCAAAAAAUCAGAAGUACCAGAUUCUUUAUACUUCUGAUAGUAUAGUCGCUCUAAUUUAAAAAAAAAAAUAUGAUUGGCUUAUUAUGGAUCAGUAUAAGUAUUAUAUCGUAAAUUUUCUCUGCUUUUGACAUGCAAGCAAAAUAAAUAAAUAAAUAAAUAAAAAUAAAAAACGCUACCCGCGUCGCGGCUUCGAAUCGGUAAAAGCCCUUUCUUUGGUUGCUGCUUCCUCCGCGACGAAGAAAGAAAUCCGAAGCCUCCGAUCGUGACCCUCUCCCCCUCCGGUCGCCAUGGAUCCAAGCUCCGUUCACCCCGACAAGGUGCGCUCCGAUCCUCCCUCCGACCCCGCCCCGCCCCCCAAGGUCGCCGCCGACGACCCCGCGCUGUCUCCGCCGCCGCCGAAGAACGUCACCUGGAGCACCGAUCUCACGCGGGAGGGCCAUCCCGCGGCGGCGGCGGCGGCGGCGGCGGAGUCGAAUCCCAACGUCAUUUCCUCCCCCGCCCAAUCCUCCGCGAAGAGUAUGAAAUUUUGCGAUUUUUUAACCUCUUUUCUAAUGGUGAUUGGAGUUUUCAUUGUUGAUUUAGAUUAGAGCUUCGUUUUUUUUAGUUUUUUCCUAUGCUGAUUGUGGAAUUUGAUUUGAAAUAGGCACGGUGGACACAGUGAAAAACGCACUCGCGAGAUGGGGCAAAAAAGUUGGGGAAACGACGAAGAAGGCGGAGGAUCUGUCGCGAAAUACUUGGCAACACUGUAAGUUUUCAAGCUUUAGGCGGAUUCUGUGUUGAAUUUUCAUCAUGUUUCUAUUCUCGAUCUGUGAAAUUAGUGUGAUUUUGUGUAAUUCUCUUGUGGUUCUAUAUUAUUCGCUUAUAAUCUUUCCUUAUCGAAUCCAUCUUUUUAUUAAUGAGAUGAGACAUCUAAUUUCGAUAAUAGUAAUUUGAAAUAGCAUGAGCAGGUACAUAUAGACCACUUUAAGGAUGAAUUUAUAUUGCACGAGUUUAAAACUUGAAUGGUGAAUAGGGAAUGUGAUUUGAUGAUUCCCAUUCUGGCUGUUUCGGGGAAAUUCCGACCCCUGUAAAGGUCGAAUGAUUAAUAUGUCAAAUUCUCAAAAUCAAAUCUGACUGCUCCUUUUGGUGUCAAUUUUAAAUCUAGGUUGGUUUUCGUGACCACCUUGAAAACUGGCACCACAGUCACCUUCAAUGUGAGACCCCAGAUAGUCCUAUAUAUGAGAUAUAAUAGGGCUAAACUCUUAACCCGGCUUAAGCAUUUUGGGUGGUGGCUAGACCCAAGAGGUUAAGAGAGUUAAGCGUGCUAGGACGGGAGUAGUCCUAGGAUGGGUGACCCCCUGGGAAGUCGGGGCGUUUCAGAUGGUAUCAGAGCCAAUUACCAGCCGGAAGUGUGAGAUGAAUCUCGGCUGAGCUAGGGUCUGGAUGACGGGCUAGCGAGACGAGUCUCACAUCGCCUGGUACUUGUGAGUCUGAGCCUGACGAGGACGUCAGGGCUUAAAGGAGGGGAGAUUGUGAGACCCCAGAUAGUCCUAUAUAUGAGAUAUAAUAGGGCUAAACUCUUAACCCGGCUUAAGCAUUUUGGGUGGUGGCUAGACCCAAGAGGUUAAGAGAGUUAAGCGUGCUAGGACGGGAGUAGUCCUAGGAUGGGUGACCCCCUGGGAAGUCGGGGCGUUUCAUUCAACUUGUUUACUAAGUUUAACUUGAAAUCUUUCUAUAAUUCUGUAUGAUCAAACUAGUUUUCUCAACUUGCGGGUGAACUGCUUCUCUUGCAGGUGAAAGGUCAUAAUUUACUGAAGCACAUGUCGACAUAUUAGAUUCUGAUUUAUGUUGAAUCAGAUCCCUUAUUAUAAUAUUAGAUGAUUUCAUAGAAUAAAUUGCUUGUUUUCAUAAUAAAAAUUCAUUAGCUACUAUGUAUUGUUGGAGCUCUACUGAUUUAAAUUCCUCAUUUCUAUCCAGUUGAAACUUUGACUAGAUAGAAUGCUGCCGCUGUAACACUUUUAUUUGUUUAUAAUAACAUCAUUAUUAGCAGCAGAAGCAACAGCAGUAUAAUUAUAUAAGAGACUGUUAUUUACAUACUACUACAGUUAUUCGUGGUGUUUAUGGCCUUAUUUUAUAAAAAAUCUCUUAUGAUUUCUGUAAUUUCAAUCAAGUUCAUUUCUUGUACUCUUUUUUUUCCCAAAUAUUCUAGCAACAUGAUUUCAAGAUAUAGAAAAGCCAUCACUCCAACAUGCCUGCAACUUGUUCAUUUCAAGUUUUAAGAAGCACAUUUAACUUUAUUUUCAACUUUAGUCACAUGUGAUUCUUUAUUGUUCAAUCAUUAUGCAAAGAUAUGAAGUUCUCCACCUUAAUACACCAUGCAUGUCUUGAGAUAAUGUAACUGAGGUUGGGAACAUGUGGUGCAUGUUUUCAAAAAGAAUAACAGGAAGUUUAAGAAGUUUGGACUGGAUUUACAGGAAAAAACUUCAGUAGAACGAAGGAAAACAUGAGAAUGGUGCAUCUGCCCUUAUUUAGGAUGUGUCCUUUUCCAAAAGAAUAACAGGAAUUAUUAUCAUGAUCACUUUUGUAUGGACCGAGAUUUUUAGUUAGUUGAAUGUGUAUUCUUAUUUUUAGAUUGCUUAGACUGGUUCCUUUUCGCAUGCUUCUAUCCAGUGUGAUGAUGGUAAGGACAUAAUUUUGGCAAUUGUAACUUAUGGGAUGACAGCACACUAUCCUUAAAUUUUCUAUAGAAUGAAAGAUCUUAAGAUCUAUUUGAGCAUGGAUUUAGUGGAAGCUAGUUUUCUGGAAGAGCUGAUCAUUUUUUCUCAUACUAUGCUAUUUGGCUCGAAGGUUCUCUAGUGGUGAUUGUGGAUAAUUCAAGGUUACUUGCUGGUUAGAACAAAACAAGGGCAAACUGAAAAGGUAGUUCAAAUUGUAAGAUUAAAAUGGCUGUUGAAAUUUAGAAGGGACCCAUGGGAAGGGCUGAUUGGUUUUGGUAGGAAGGGCAUGUGUUGGAUUGAUGAAUAAGGACAUUCUUGCAUGAGUGCUAUAGAAUGUAAUCUUUGUACUUCAAUAGUAGGUACAACUAAAUGGGUAGCUGUCAGCAUACCAGAGUUACAAAUCAGCACGGGAAAUGUUUCUCCUAGUACGAGGGCUCUUUUGAUUUUAAAAUUCUAAUGCUACCCUUGGUAGUUUAUGCAAAACCUAAGCUGGUUUGGUAGGAUUACGGUAUAAGGUUUUUUUAACUGUCUUCCAAACUGGGCAUAUGUUUCAUUGAACUUGCAGAUUAUAUUUGUUGCUUCAAGUAUCAAUUUAAUACCAAACUCUUUUCCUAGUCAUAGCGCCUAAUAGGUGCUUUCAUCACAUAUUUACAAUUGUCAUUCUUUCUGAGCUUCACGUUUGUCCUUAUUAAAACCUCUUUUCAGCUUUUUAUGUUGCAUUAACUGGAGCAUAGAAAGGAACCUGGAAGGUGGAACUCCUUGAUGCUCCGGUGGAGCUUUUGUCCAUUAUAUUACAUCAUUUGAGAAGCAAAAUAUGUUACAGUGACAUGUUGACGCCCUUUUAUGCUAGUUCUUAACAAUCUCCUGUUAUGCUAUCAAGGAAAAUUAUGUGAAGUGGCAAGAAUGUUAGAAUGCUUUCUUCAUAGUGAUCAAGCAACAAGUUCCACUUAUAAUGAUUUCAAUGAAAGGAUGAAUAAUGAAGACAAGUCAUACUCUCGUGUAUCUUGCCUUCAUUUGACCUUUAGUAACCAUGAUGCGGUUGCGAGAUCUUAAAAAAUGUAAUUGGAAUUAUAGGGGAGGAAUUUUUACUGAUCAUAUUGUUAGCAAUACUAAAUAUAUUACAAUCAACUUGUUUGUUUGUUUGUUUACCUGCUCGUCUGUUUUGUUUUAUCUCCUCUCUCUCUCUCUGUUUCUUUUUUUUUUUCUUAUGAAGCAAAUUAUUUGCCGAGUCAUUUGAAUUCUGUCCAAAUUCAACUGUUAAUCAUUUGAAUUUCUGUUAAGAUUCAACAGUUAGUCAUUGGAAUUUCCAAUUCAAAAGUUACACGACAAAAUUGGUGCCAGUUUAUGAUGCGUCUCAGCAUUGUAUCUUUCAAAACUUUGAAGUCUUAUUAAUCUAGUGAGUGCAAAUUUAACAUAUGAACCAAGGAAUAGUAGCUUUAACUCAUUAAUGAUUUUGAGUUUCAAUUCGUUUCAGUAUUGAUAUUCUUCUUCAUGCAGUGAAAACAGGACCUAGUUUUGCUGAAGCUGCAAUGGGAAGGAUUGCUCAAGGAACCAAAGUCAUAGCAGAAGGUGGCUAUGACAGGAUAUUUCAGCAAACAUUUGAAGCACUGCCGGAAGAGCAACUUAGGAAGUCUUUUGCAUGCUAUCUAUCAACAUCUGCUGGUCCUGUUAUGGGGAUUUUGUACUUAUCUACAGAGAAACUUGCGUUCUGUAGCGACAAUCCUCUUUCAUACAAAGAUGGAGAUAAAACAGAAUGGAGUUAUUAUAAGGUACCGAUUUCUCUUCUCUCUCUUCUCUCUCUCUCUCCUGCCCCCACCCAUUCCUUCCACACACACCUCCUUCCCCCUGUCGUGGGGCCUCUCUCUCUCUCUCUCUCUCUCUCUCUCUCUCCACACAGUAUUUUGGAAUUGAUGAAAAUUUGAUGAUGAGGCCUGAAUCUUUAUUUUUGAUUCCCCAAAAGUUUAUGAUGAGAUUCACUAGUUUCCUUGCCGAAGGUUAUCUCGUCAAUUACUUCUUGCACCACAUAUUCUGUCUUUUCCUACUCUUUCAUUUGAUCCGUCUCUCUUUUCUUCUCAAUGUUAUAUAAACUGACAGAAUGCUAAACCACAUUCUAAUUUCCUUGAUUUGAAAAAUAAUUUUGUGUAAUAUAAACAGGUGGUGAUUCCUUUGAAUCAACUAAGGGUAGCUAAUCCCUCAAUAAGUAGAGCAAAUUCUGCUGAAAAGUAUAUCCAGAUCGUCUCUGUGGACAAUCACGAGUUUUGGUUCAUGGGUUUUCUAAACUACAACAGUGCUGUAGAGAGUCUUCAAGAGGCUUUGAUUAGUGCACGUGACUCGCAACCUUAGAGGACACCAGAAUCUCAACACAGGUCUUGUGACCCUUCGAGAUGCUGGUCUCCACGCCCUCAGUAUUUAUAUCGCAUGAUCAUAAUUCAAGCCUGGCUCUAUCGCAACCACUGGUAGAAUACACCUUAUACAUGGAUAUCUUCGACUUUUUGAUCACUUUGUUUCCGAGUUUAAAUUUUGCUCUACUAAACAAUACAUGUUUAUCUGUAGUUUGUGCAUUUCCCCCUAUCAUUUCUCGACUGCCGAACCAUUGCAGCAAUUUUAUCUCUUCGUUUUUCCAGUUUGUCCUGGCUGGGUUUGUUGUAUCUGUUGUUGUGCCUUACUGAUGUAAAAAUACUUUGAAUUUCUGAAUAAGAUCAGUCCAUUUUGAGGAGGAUAUUGUUCACAACAACCUGGCCCAUACCCUUCUGCUCCAGCAGUACCUUAUCCUCCAGUUCUGUUCAGGCAUACCAACCGGUUGCGCCUGAUAGGGAGGAUAUUUUGGAAAUAUGUAGGCAAGAACUAGAGCGUAUGGAUAUGGUCCUAAGGGUGGCGCUCAUCAGCCAAGGACCUCAAUUUCAAGACAGAAUCCGGAGAUUGGGUUACUAUUGGCCCUCCAUGAUCAAGGAUUGCAUCGACUAUGCCCGCCGGUGCGAUGCCCGCCAGUAAAAGGAAAAAUAAAAAAAUAAAAGUGAAAAAAAGAGAGGGAUUUUGUUCGGAGCUGAUCAUCAUUUCUUGUGACAUGAAUUGACUCAGGUUGGAUAAAUCCAGGUUGCUUGGCAACAAGAGGAGCCAACUACUCCGGAUUUUGAUACAUUUCAUUGUUGACUAUUAACUGGUGCUUAUUCUUUUCCUUCUUUUGAGUUGACACCUUUUUUUAUCUGGAUUUUCUCUUCGGUAAUGCAAUAGAGUUCAUUUGAGUUGGUUCGUUUCUUGACAACAAUUUCAUAUAUGAAUUGAAGGGUUGCAGUUUUGGUGCAAAAGAAGACCAGAUUCAUAUGUGCGGUCACCGAGUAGCUUGCUCUAUACCGGUCCUUCAAAAUUUCUUUUGCUAUUAUAUGCAGCUCCAGCUUAAAUCAGCAGCACAAUAGAAGGAUCGCUGCGUCGAAAAUUUUAGUUUAUUACCUUUGCUUGAUGCAUGGAGCUUAUCUCCCUUUAUCAUGUUGACAGGGACUGUCUCCACCUACCUUCCAUUUUAAAGCACGAAAAAAGAGCUGAGAAAUUUUCCUAUCUUACUAGUGAUUUUGAUGUGGGACUUCAAAAUCAAUGUGUUACUUUAGCUGCUAGGAAGCGUAAAUCUGAUUCUAGGUCCUCCUAGCAGGGGGAUGGCAUUGCCUUUGUUCCUUAACUUGGAAGAAUAUUUUCGAUUGUAUAAUGCUUGAUCCAAUUGAAUUCAGAGGAGCUCCGAAUUCGGAAAACCUGCACUUAUUCUCUUUGAUUUGUUUUCUGCUCCCAGUAGUUUGCUGCAAUAAGAUUCGCGCAGAUGAAAACACAACCCACAUCUGCAAGUUUGGGAAGAGCUGGUGAAUCUUUUCCCAUGAUCCAAGACAGGCCAUUAAAUAGCAAGGCUCAUGUUGUCCAGGUUUGUCUAACUUUCCCAUCCGUACAAACCCAGCAAGGGCUCGAGUUACUUCAUUGCAGAAUUUGUCCCACCAAUCAGAAGCUGCUACAUUUAAACAAUUGGGGCAGAUCAGAUCAAAGCCCAUUGCCAAAUGUCGGUGUAUGUAUCUCCCGCCUUUCGAAAUGGCAUACAGGAUACGAAACAGACGAGGUAAUCGAUGGAGAUUUAACUCCGUCAAUAGUAGCAGCACGAAUUGAUCUUACCCACAAUCUUAUGAUAUGUUGGGGGUAGGGUCCAUCGGAGUAGCGUCCAAUACAAAAUGAUUUCUUUUUUUUUUUUUUCAAAUUCGGUCUCAGAUUGAAUCAUCCGGCUCGACCGGUAGUAUUACUCGACCUAACCGACCGAGAUUCGACAAUCGCAACCUCGCGCAACUUCCGACGCCUUACGGAAACCCAAAACUUUAUUAUCUUGAUUAGGUCAUUACGACCGUUGGGUGAAGAACGGAUCCAAACAGUGCCAGCGCAGAAAAGGUUACAGCUAAGCCAAAAUUCAGGAAGAAGCAGGAAGCAGCAGUCACAACAGAAGGUGGAGAGGAGGGAGGGAAUCAAAUCGCGCCAGGCUGGCUUUGAUGUUUUGGCCGCAAUCAAAAGUUUGUCUGACCACAAAGAUUCUGUCAAAACACCCCAACCAUUUCCUGCGCCCCCUUUUCCUCCUCCGUCUGGUCAGUAUCAAGCCUCAGGGAUUGGUGCCUAGACUGGGCCUACCCAAUCAUUCAUUUUUUAUUUUAUCCUUUUAUUUUAUUUCUUUAUUUAUUUUUAUAUAUUAUGGGCGAAAAGGAGAUAGCUUCAUAUAUAGCACCAUUAAAUAUUGAAUAAUUUAAACCAGAAAAAAAAAAAAAAAAAAAGAGAGAGAGAGAGAGAGAGAGAGAAAUUCAAUUUGAGAAUUUAACAAACAUUGCACCUUAUCAUCUUCGUCGCGAAAUCAAUCGUAUUGUUCCGAUAAUUUUAUAUCAUUUUCAAAAUUUAGGCUGUAAUUUCGAAUACUGUGAACAGAAAGAUUUUAUGUGCUGCUGUUCUCAGGGUCAGAUUUGUUCGUAAAUUAUAUCAGGAGAAACAAGUUAAAAAAAAAUCGAAAUUUGACUGAGGUUGCUAAAUUGGUUGGAUCAGUUUUGUUCGAACCUGGAGCCUGAAAAAGUGUUGAAUGGUUUAAUUAUACAUCUUGGACCGUAGUAACUAGAUAGAUUUGGAUCUUGCGCAGCAAAAGCGCUGUUCACCUUCUCCUUUUUCCCCUUUAUUUUUGUCCCUGCAUGCACUUUCUGAAUUAUUUUACAUGUCUUUACCAUCCCGAUUCCCAUGAAAACAUCCUCUCAAGUUUCAAAGAUUUGGAUUGAUAACACUGAUGGGGCUCUCAUCUAUUUAUAUUUCUCAAUGUUGAUGUGAUUUUUUUUUUCCUUUUUUUUUUUUUUUUUUCCUGCUCUCUACUGUGUGAUUGCUUAUUUCUUUAUUUGGAGACUCAAAAGUAAGAUUGGUUUGGGUGGUGGUUACUUGAGAUCCUUAGCACUUCCAUUGUUUAGCGAAAACAUCUAAUUUAUUACAAAUAAUCAGAAAAAUAUGUGUUUGAACUCCUAAAAUAGCAAAUGCGAGAAUUAAACCCACACGCUUGCUGACGUCCCAUCCAAUUCUUAUUGAUUAUUCUUUUUUCAGAAAGAAAAAUAUAUUAAGUGUUAUGGAUGUAUGAAAAGGCCUAAUUAUAGAAUCAGCGCCGAUACUAUGUUAACUAAAAGAUCGAAUUGAGGUCACGGGAGAAUCUCUCUUACCCAAAUUUUUGUAGGGACAGAGAACAACUCUGGGCCUCCACAAGUCUAUCAUUUUUGCAUCCAUCUACCCCCCCAUGAUACCACUCAACAGGAGACAGCUUCUUGAUACUACCACUACUCCCCCACCCUACUCCCAGGGAACCAACUCAAUCCACAAGUUUGAUUACUUAGCAUGCACUCCCUAGUUCCCUUCACCCUCUCCUCCUCUAGCUCUUUUCCUGUCUCCCAAGAGAGAGAGAGAGAGAGAGAGAGAGAGAGAGAGAGAGAGAGAGAGAGAGAUUCUACAAAUGUAAUGGAUCCCACAUAAUGUAUGGGACCAAGAGAUGAGGAGGAAGAGGGAAAAGUUGCAGUUAUGCUUCUGAGGGGAUUCUGUUGGGUGACUGUAAAACUAUAGGACUAUUGCUUGUUGAGUUUAUGGUCCCCAUCUACCAGACAAAAACCCUAUGACUGUAAGACAAUGAGGCUCCUCUCAAACCCUGUAAUUAACAUAUUUAUGUUUCCAUGCAUGGCAGCUAACUUCAUUUAUAGCUCUCGCGAGGUGGAAGACGCAUUAAUAAACUAUGAAUAACCUUCGUGAUAUAUACCGGAGGUAGAGUUGGCGCAUUCAAUUAACCAUCCAUUCACUGCAUCUCUCUUCGUUUCUUUGUUCAUAAAUUAGAUCGUCGGAGCGAAAGACGGCCUGUUUGAGACUGCGUCUGUACCGCAUUUAAUGCGAUAAAAACAAGAAAAAGGGGGCCUGUGUGGGACUGCGUGGGUGCUGCAUUUAACGUGUUUUAGACAGACCUCGUCCGGUUUUGCAGACCAAAAUCGAGCAAUCGAGAGCCGAACAAAUUGCAGCAUGUACCAGACAGACCUCGUCCAGUUUUGCAGACCAAAAUCGAGCAAUCGUAAUCCAAACAAAUUGCAGCAUGUACCUUGCUACAUGCGUUUGCAGACUAAGGCAGCCGACACACUCAGCAGUACCAAACGAAGCCUUAAGUGAUGUGCGUGGUUGAGGUGCAUCUAGUAAAUUCAAUGUUUACUAAUUGCUCAUAUGUAUUUUGCCACAAUAAAUGAGACGAAAUUGCACUUAAUGUGAACCCUAGUGAAAAUGGAUCUUCGUCGCCCCAUUUACUAUUAACUAUUAAACAUUAUAUUCCCGAAGACCAAUUGGACCGGAAUACUAUUAAUAGUAUUUGGCCGUUUUUGCUAUCAAGUUUUUUCUUAUUCUCAUACUUGUACCUAUCCCUGUAAUAGCUAGCUCUUGCUUAUACCCGAACCAAACGAUUACUUUAGAGUUGAGUGGUCCCCCGAGAGUUGAGUGAAUUCUACUAGAUUAUAAUAUUUAAUCCAAUAGUUAGAAAUGAUCAAAGAAAUUGAUCUAAAAGCUAAAAACUUGAUAGCAAAUGGGGGCAAAUACGGUUAAUAGUAUUCUAGCCCUACAUAUAUAUAUAUAUAUAUAUAUAUAUAUAUAUAUAUAUAGAGAGAGAGAGNCUGUGCAUUACUUUAAGAUAUUGGGGUGUUCUUGGGGGUUGGAUGUGGGUGUGGGAAGGGGGCAGGGUGCGUGGGUGUGGGUGGGUUGGGAGGGGGCUCCUUUGAAUGGCAACUGUCUAGGACAUUGGACUGAAUUUCCAUUAUGCAAGUCAAUAUAUCCAUAAUGAAAAAAAGGCACAAGUCAAAAGGCAAAAAUGAGAGCCAUAAAUUUAUAAAUAUUGUAGCACAAAAAGUAUUUAAGCAAAAAUAGGCGUUCUAAUUAGAUACCUUUACCGAGCUGUUGUUCUUGUGAUAAAUUUCCACGCAAAGGAUAACUUCAGUAGAGAAUACUGGUAUGUAUUCUUGUGAUUUCAAAGCCUUCACCUGGGCAAAAUAAUAAGCAAUAUAUACAUAAAGCAGAAUAUUUUAUGAACAAACCAUGAUUCCUAUCUAAUAGAAAAAGAACGAAUGAAGUAUAUCAAUUAGCACAAUAAGAAAUCAACUCAAAUUUUAGUUUUUGCAAAAUUCCAUUUGUUUAACAAGUUGCCUUUAGUCGAGAGAAUUGAGAACUUACAGAAUAAUCAAAAGUUCAAAAGUAACCCUUCUAGACAUGACAUCAAAGAUCAAACAUUAAGAAGUCAACUCCAAAAUGGAACAAUACGGCAAGGAUAAUAUUCAUGACAAAAAAGCAUAUGUACAAUAAUACAAGACAUUGAGAUGGUAAAUUGAACCUGUAGUCCACAAACUUUUUAAUGUAGUUACAGUUCUUUCUUUUUUUUUUGAGGCAAAAAAGAAACUUCCAAACUAGGACAGAAGAUUUGGCAGACCCCCUACUUGACCUCUGUGUAUUGAGUCAUGUGCAAAGAAAGACAACCAACGGUGGCCCAACCAACCAAUCAUAAAAGCCACUAAACUCAGCUUAAUAGAGAAGUAUCCCAAUAUCUUCGUAAUGUAAUCCAGACAUAAGCAGCACCAUCGAGCUGUACUUGUUCUUCUGUUAUCCAAUUACAUAAUUGUAAAUUCACAUGGUUUAUAAAUUUCAGCAGUCCGCUUAUUACCUUUCAGACCAGACAUUUCUAUUUUCCCAACUGGGUACCAAAAAUCCAUGUAAUUGUUGACUGAUUGCCACAUAAAGUGAAUUUUGGAUUUACCACAAGGCAACAUAGGCAUUUCAAUCUGUUUUACUUGAGGACCUUGAUGAACAUAAGAUUGCAGCCAGGUGCACAGGUUGAAGAACCCAUCAAAAGUUUGUAAUAAUGAACAGAUAGAGAAUCAAACUGAAAUCUCCAUAAAAGCUAGAGGACUCUGGGGCACUUUGGCCGUAUUGAAACUUAUAGCAUAUUUAGCUACGAUGAAAACGUAAUGACAAUAAGACUGGAAUACUGGAUGCUAAAUUAUGUGGAAACCACACAUUGCAUGCUAGUAUAUGCAUAUAGAUGUGCAGAUAUGUAUGAAGGUGCGCAUACAUUGAUAUAUAUAUAUAUAUAUAUAUAUAGAACUAGGCUAAUAUACUAUUAAUAGUACCAAGUCAUUGGUGCUACCAAGUUUUUGGCCAUUGGAUUAAGAGAUGUGCGGUUGGGAUGAUGUGGGCCCCCUAGGGUUGAGUGGGUGGUUGGUUGAAUAGUAUGAUCUAAUGGAUGAAAAUGAUCAAAAGGGUAGAUCUAACGGCGGAAAACUUGGUAGCACAAAGUGCUUCGUGCUAUUAAUAGCAUAGUAGCCGGACUCUCUAUAUAUAUAUAUAUAUAUAUAUAUAUAUAUAUAUAUAGUUUGCUAGGCUGGUAUACUAUCGGUAGCAUGGAGGUUUCCGUGCUACCAAGUUGUUUUCGAUGAUGCGGCUUCCAAAUCGAUGAUCGGCUCCGUAGACUUGAUCUCCACUAAUAAAAGUAUUUGAAAACUAAAUUUCAUAAUUUUUCGACAUCAUUUGCUAGUGAUCAAAAGGUCUCAAAAUUGACAAUUUUAAUGGUAGAUGUAAUGCAUUCGUGAAUUUAACGGUGUAAAAUAAUUCAAAACUGAUUAAAUUUUUAUAAAAAAUUCUUUUCACUAUUUAGAGUAAGAUCAGUAUAUCUGAUCUUAAAUUCAAGUCUUUUAUUAUCAUUUUUUAUGAAAUUUUUAUUUUCAGCCGUUUAUUUUUAAACUAUUUGUUUGAUAGAUAAAUGAUGUCGAAAAAUUAUGAAAUUUAGUUUUCAAAUACGUUAAUAGGGUAGAUCAAGUCUAACGAAACCGAUCGUCGAUUUGGAAGCCGCAUCAUCGAAGACAACUUGAUAGCAUGGAAGCAUCCGUACUACCGAUAGUAUACCAGCCUAGCUCGUGCUACCGAUAGUAUACCAGCCUAGCUCUAUAUAUAUGUAUACCAGCCUAGCUCUAUAUACUAGCCUAGAGCUAGGCUGGUAUACUAUCGAUAGCACGAGCUAGGCUGGUAUACUAUCAGUAGCACGGAGGCCUCCAUGCUACCAAGUUGUUUUCGAUGAUGUGGCUUUCAAAUUGACGAUCGGCUUCGUUAGACUUGAUCUACCCUAUUGAAAGUAUUUGGAAACUAAAUUUCAUAACUUUUGGACAUCAUUUACCUACCAAACGAGUAGUCUAAAAAUAAACGGCUGAAAAUAAAAAUUUUUAUAAAAAAUUAUGAUAAGAGACUUGAAUUUAAAAUCAAGGAUAUUGAUAUUACUCUAAAUAGUGAAAAGAAUUUUCUAUAAAAGUUUCAUCAGAUUUGGAUUAUUUUACACCGUGAAAUUCACAAACGCAUCACAUCGACUAUUAAAAUUGUCAAUUUUGAGUUUUUUUUAUCACUAGCGAAAUAAUGUCGAAAAAUUAUGGAAUUUAGUUUCUAUAUACUUUUAAUAGUGUAGAUCAAUUAUAAUGGAGCCGAUCAUCGAUUUGGAAGCCACAUCAUUGAAAACAACUUGGUAGCAUGGAGGCCUCCGUGCUACCGAUAGUAUGCCAGCCCAGCUCUCUCUCUCUUUCUCUCUCUCUCUCUCUCUUCACUCGAAUCAUCUAUCUCUUCUUCUCCACUAUAUUAUAUAAUAAUAUAGAGUGAGGCUAACUAUGCUUCUGGAAGCACAGCCUUCCGUGCUUCCAGGUCAGUUUUCAAUGUUGACCGUUUUCGAAUUAGUCGUUGACUCCGUCUAACUUGAUCUAGAGUAUUUGACAAUAUCCUAGAAAAAUAAAAUUUUGUAAAUUUUUCGAUAGUCAUUUGUAUAGUGAUUUCGAAGGGACUCAAAUCAAUAAUGUUUAAUGACGUGGCUGAGCGCGUUUGCCAAGUUUAAGGAUGUAAGAAAUAUCAAAUUACUGUUGAAUUUUGAUUUAAAAUUUUAUACUAUAUAUAUUAACAAGAUCAAUGAUCUUUGAAUUCUAAAUUUUAAUGUCAUAUUAUCAUAUUUUGUAAGAUUUUUAUUUUCAGCCGUUGAUUUUUAGCCUUAAGUUCAUAGGCAAUGAUAUCGAAAAUUAAAAAUUUAUGUUAUCUAGGGUACUUCAAAUACUCUAUGAUCAAAGUUUAACGGCAGACCGAUUGCCGAUUUGAAUGUCGCAACAUAAAAACGAACGCUGAAGCACGGAAAACUCUGUGCUUCCCGAAGCAUAGUAGCCUACAUAUAUAUAUACUAUAUAUAUAUAUAUUAUAUAUAUAUAUUAUAUAUAUAUCAUAUUAUAUAUAUAUGUAGAGCUAGUAUGGCUUAUGCAGUAUUAGAAUUUCCUUAUACUCAUAAUUUUUAACGAGUGAUUGAUGGGAUUGUCGUUAGGAUAAUGGCUGGACCCCACUUAGAAUGAUAGUAGUCUCCUAGAGGUUGAGGAUGGGCUUGUUCGGCUGAAUAGUAUGAUCUACAGGGGGGUGGAACUGAUCACGAUAAAUUAAGGGCCGAAACUUUAAAAGUAUAGAAAGAACAUACUACAUACAAAACUUAGUUAGCGGACUCUCUCUCUCUCUCUCUCCCCUCUCUUUCUUAUUUAUAUAUAUAUAUAUAUAUAUAUAUAUAUAUAUAUAUAUAUAUAUAUAUAGGGUUAUUUGCAUACACGUCCCUGCAAACAUAGUGAAUUGCGAAAAUAUCCAUGCAAAACGGAAACUCCAUAAGUUGUCCCUGUAAAAGUCCUAAGUUAUGCAGAUAUGUCCCUCCGGUUAACAUCCGUUAGUGAUCUGUUUAUUUUUUAAUAGUGGAUUCGUGAAAUGACCAUUUUACCCUCACUAAUAUAUCCCUCCAAAAGUUUUUCUCUUCCUUUCUCUUUCUCUUCCUCUUCGGACCGUCGAAGCGGACGACGGCGGCGGCGGCGCGGGGUCGGGUUCGGCGGCGACGAAGAAGAGGGAAGAACGCCGGGGCACCGGAGCUCUACCCAGAGCUCGUCGCCCUCAACGCCAUCCCCUCCCUCGCCGGCCUCCUCAGCCACGACAUUGCCGACAUCGCCGUCGACGUCGUCUCCCUCCUCACCGACCUCACCGACGUCGACGUCCUCGGCGACCACGACGACCCCGCGCACGCCCUCGUCGUCGCCCUCGUCAACAACAACACCGUCGAGCUUCUUGUCCAGAAAUUCGCUCACCUUUUCGAGGCCGACCCCGACGAGGUUCUUCUCCCUCGCCGGUGACGAAGAAGAGGGAAGAGGAAGAGGAAGAAGGAGGAAGGAAGAAGAAGGGAAAAGAGGAAGAGGGAAGAGGAAAAGGAAGAGGGUUCGCCGCCGUCGCCGCCGUCGACGCCGCAUCUCCUCGCUGGCGACGAAGAAGAAGGAAAAGGAAGAGGAGGAUGAGGAAGAAGGGUAAAUAAGUCAAUUCACACUAUAAUUAACCAUGGUUAAGUAUUUUAACCGUGGUUAACGAAAAUUUUCUAACAGAUCUGGACGGCAGGGACAUAUCUGCAUAACUUACGACUUUUGCAGGGACAACUUAUGGAGUUUCCGUUUUGCAGGAAUAUUUUCGCAAAUCACUAUAUUUGCAGGAACGUGUAUGCAAAUAACAUAUAUAUAUAUAUAUAUAUAUAUAUAUAUAUAUAUAUAUAUAUAUCUAUAUAGUUUAGUAGGGUAGUAAUACUUGUAAAAGUAUCAUGGGAGUGAUACUUGUGUGUUUUUAGCCCUGGAUGGAGAGAUGUGAGGUUGAGAUGAUGCGUGGUGGUGGUAGUAUUAAUCAAGGGCUAUUAAUAAUCAAAAAAUAGAUCUCAAUGGCUUAAAAACUAAUGCAUCAUGAUGGGUGAUACUGUAAAAGUAUCAUAGCUCAACUCUAUAUAUAUUAUAUAUAUAUAUAUAUUAUAUUAUUAUAUAUAUAUAUUAUAUAUAUAUAUAUAUAUUAUAUAUAUAUGAAACACCGAUGCGGACCAAUUAUCUUUAAUUCACGUGGUAGCUCAGAAUCUCCCAAGAUCGCCUGUGUCCUCAUCUCUAGUCUCAUUCACCACCCACCAGACAAACAAACAAACAAACAAAACUCUACGACCCAUAACAUAAACCAAAUGAGAUCAACAGCUGUCGAAGAAAACAAAUUAAAAGGCGGUUCUAUAUGUACAUGUUGCUGUUUGAAACUAAACUCCACGUCUCCACCAUGGGAGAGAGAAAGCGAGAGAGUGGAAAGAGCUCUUUUGAGAGGAAGCAGAAGAAAACAAAAGGUGAAGGGUGCCCGUACGUAGUUUAAAGGCCACACCUUCCUCUCUGGCUCAGAGGCUCAAAUUGUCCUGGAGAGUUAAUUGAGUUGGAACUGAUAUAUAAGGAGGAGGAGGAGAAAAUGUUCAUUUUAGUAAGCUGUGUAUCCUCGGGGCAUUAAUGGUGAGUAGUAGCACUUGGCACUUACCCCACAAGAUGGCUCAUAAUUGGUCAGUAAAUGCGCAGUUCUAGAGUUGAUGUGUGUGUGUGUGUGUGUGUGUGUGUGUGUGUGUGUGUGAGAGAGAGAGAGAGAGGGAAGCAGCUUUACUUACUUAAAGAGCCUUCUACGGCCAACAUAAAUACAUAACCGCCCAUUGAAGCAGCAAGAAAUAUUAUAAGCUUGCAUGAGGUCAUGUAGCUAGGAAAUAGUUUGUACUGAAAAAAUAGAUAUAUAGACUCUUAUCUUUAGGAGAGCAAAAUCAAGUAUGAGAAAAGAAGCUAUAUAUAAAUGAUUUGAUAGAGUCUUUUCUUUACAAUUUCUUGUUUCUUUCUUCUCUCCAUCUUCUUUACGUACGUCAAGGUUCACCCAUGGAGUAGAAAGAUUAAAGCAUAAACUAACCAAAACACAAACAAACACACACCAUGUAUAAACAUAAGCUGGUAACAUCGAGUAUUUCAUGGAGGCCAUAUAUAUACAUAUAUAUGUUCUUGGAUUUAAUAGCUAGCUAGCUCGACACACACAAAAGCCAUGGCACAUAUAUAUGUAGGAGAUAAUUAAGGACGAUGGACGUACGGGAAAGGAAAUUAAAGAGAAGGAGAAAAUAAGUAAUAAAGCGAGACAAAUAAGAGAGAAGAGGCCGAAUCCAACAGUUGAGUGUUUCAUUCCAUUGAAUUAAAUUUCUCCGAACAAGUCACCAACCAACUCGAUCAGUAGUGCUCUCCUACCUCGCAUCCUACAUCUUAAUAUAUAAUAUUGGACUGGAUACAUAUCCCUCCGUUACCACCAACACUACCAAAUCAAUCACAGGUAUACAAAAAGAAACCAAGCUCUAGCUAUAUAUAUAUAGGCCUAAUUAAUUAGAGAAUUGCAACAUAGCAUAGCAUAGCAUAGCAUAGCAUAGCGUCUAAGAAUACACGAUCGAUCGAGAGCUAGCGGGGGUGAGAAUACACGAUCUAAUCUAAUCUAAUCUAAUCUAAUCUAAUCUAAUCUAAAUCUAAAUCUAGAUAUAUAGGAAGGAGAGAUCAGGUAAGGAGUGAGGGAGGGAGGCGUACACGGUAGUAGUAGUAGAUAGCGGGUACGUAUUUAGGGUUUCUUGCCGAGGGUGUUCUUGUUGUUGUGCAUCCAGACUUUGAGGACGUGGCGGUGGAUGCAGGCCUCGUCGCAGAACUGCUGCACGGCGGCCUCGUCGUGCUUCUGGAUCCGCCAGCCCACGCGCUCCGCGAACGCCAGCAUCUUGUCCUUCUGCUCCUGCGUGAACUUGGUCCGGAACCGCUUCCUGCCCCCCGACGUCGACCCGCCCCCGCCGCCGCCGCCGUCCUCGCCCUCCUCCCUGCUCCUGCUGUGGCCCCCCGAGCUCGACGGCAGCGCCAGCUGCCCCGGAUGCGCCGCNGGGUCUUUGCGGUGGAAGUUGCGGUGGCAGCCGCAGGCGGCGCAGCGGAGGCCGUCGAGGGUGCCGUCCUCGCCGGCAGGCAUGAACUCGCCGCAGCCGUCCACGGCGUGGCCCCCGAUGCCCACCGCGUGGUUCUUCAGGCACUCCCUAUACCUCCCCAUCCCCACUCCCCCGGCCGCCUUCCGCUGCUGCCGCUGCUGCUGCCGCUGCUGCUGCCGCUGCUGCUGCUGUCCCGACCACCCCCCGACAACUCCAGCAACUCCUCCUCCGCCGCCGGGUCUGCCGGAAUUCGCCGCAGCAGCCGAAGGAGUUUCCAUCUCCAUCCCCAUCCCCAUCUCCUCCCCCUCCUCCUCCUCCUGCUCCUCGAACUCCAUCUCCCCCUCCCUCCCUCCCUCCCUCUCUCCUCCGGCGAUCGCCGGUCAGAUCUCUCCAACUACCGGCCCCUUUCUUCUUUUUUCUCUCUUUUUUUUUUAAAUUUUUUUUUUUAAAAAAAAAAUCCUCUCGACUAAACUCGGAGUUAAUGAAAGGGAAUAAAGUGUGAAAGCGCCAUUAAUUUUUGAUGCAGCAGCUCCUGUGCGAGGGCCUUUGUGUUAUAUGAACACUACUGUAAACUAAAGCUCCGCUCUUUACUACACACACACACACGCACACACACACGCACUCUUCUCUCUCUCUCUCUCUCUCUCUCCCCCUCUUAGGAUCUCUUUACUAUACUCCCCGGUCGAUGGUGGCUACCCCCACCGGCUAACGCCGGUUACCUUAAGCCGCUCCCAAAACCCUCGUCCCCAUCCCCCCUUCGUUAUGUAGUGUAAUCUCACUCAUCGCUAAACCCACUUCCCCUUCUACUCUUACUUAUAUUAGUGUCUGGUUUCUAUUUACUUUUUUACUGUGUAACUCUACCGCGGUGAAUGGCCAAAAAAAAAAAAAAAAAAAAAAAAACAAAAAAAAAAAAAAAAAAAAAAAAAAAAAAAAGUCACGUCAACAAAAAAAAAUACGCCGGAAAUAAGGAAGAAAUCAAAAGGUUAAAGCAACCAAAAAGCUAAUUUCUUUUUUGUAAACUGAUUUCUUUUUCUUUUCUUUUUUUUUUUUACUUUUUACUAGUUUUAGAGUUUGACCGUUCUCAGCGUCCAAAAGAGAAGUAAAAGAGAGGACUAGAGUAGAGAGAGACAUGUACGGAAAUUUAUUGCUCUUUUUUACUAAGUUUGUGUUUUUUUUUUAAAAAAAAAAGGAAAAAAAAUAUAACAGUAAAUUAAUUGCAGAGGAAAUUAAGCUUCGCAGGUUACGUGCGUGGCUCCUCCGACAUGCGUGACACGCCACAGGCGUAAACACGCGCACUUCGCAUACGGCCCUGCAUGCCUCAAAAAUUUCCUCUUUUUUUUUCCCUUAAAAAAAGGGUAUUUUUAUGUAUAUUUCCACGACAAUUUAAUUGUUACAUAAUUAUCUUUUAAAAUUUUCAAUUAAUUAUGAAAUUUCAAUAUAUUCUUUUAAUUUUAUGGUCGGUUCACUGCUGAAUUUAGCCAUUUUUACACCGGUUUUAAAAAAAGUAUGAAAUAAUAGUUCGAAAAUUAAAUAGGAAUUUUUUUUCCUGGAUGUAUGGUCCAAAAAAAUGUGACGAGGCUGGAGAAAAGGUUGAAAAAGGAAUAUUAUGAAAAUGGUUAAAUUUUAAUAUUAGAUGAAGAAAUAUAUAUAUAUAUAUAUAUAUGGCUAGUGCUACUAUAUACUCUUAUGAGUAUAGAGUUCUUCGUACUCAUAAGUUGUUUUCAAUGAUUGAGCUUCCAAAUCGAUGAUCCACUCCGUUAAAUAUGAUCUAGAGUAUUUGAAAUUUGUAGAAAAUAAAUUUCGUAAUUUUUCGAAAUCAUAAUAAAGUCCAUCAAGUGGGUAUAAAAUGAAUGGUUGAAAUCGAACGACGUCCUAAAAAUGGAUGAUCGGAUCCUUCAAUUUAAGAUCGGAGUUAUUAAUCUUUAUCUAGAUAGUAAAUAAAAUUUUCUAUCAAAAAUUCAACCGAUUCCGAUUCUUUUACACCGUUAAACUAACAAGUAUACCGGCCGUUAAAAAUUAUCAAUUUUGUGACUUUUUGAUCAUAAAAUAAAUGAUGUCAAUAUAGAGAGAAAGAGAGUUGAGCUAGAAUACUAUUAAUAAUAUUUUGACUUUUUUGUUAUCGAUCUUUUGGCGAUUAAAUCUACACCGUAAUUAGUUCUACCCUUUAGAUAAAUACCAUUCAACUAACCACCCACUCAAUCCUUGGGCGACCACCACUAAACCUUAGGGGACUGCUAUCAUCUUAAUCCCACAAUAAUUUUUUAUUUAAAGGUUAAAACCUAGAUUGUAAAAAAGUCCAAAUAUAUAUAUUUUUAUUAGCUAUAGGAAUGUUGGAUUAAAUACAUCAGUGUCUUCCAAACUUUCGUCCAUGCAAAAUGUUAUCUAACUUUUAAAAUUUUUAUAAUUAUAACUCAAAAUUUUAAAAUUUUAUAAUUGGCCGUUUAAUUUCAUGUUAUACCAAUGUAAAGUAACAAACAUUAGCCAAAUUGCGAAACAAUAAAGAAGCAUGGCGGCAUAUAGAUUAAUUUUCUUAAUGCCAAAUGCUUAAGGCAUGUUUAUUUCAUUGAAAGUGACUGAAGGGGAAAUUUCUUUUAGCCAUAUAUAUANAUAUAUAUAUUUGUUAAUUAUUUCGUUUAUCGUAAAUAGUCCAAAACUCCUUUUUCCAGAACACCAUAAUAAACUUCGCCCUGAAUUGCGGGAAAUCAAUUACAGAAAAUGAGAUAGAAAAGAAUUAAUCAAAUUAACUGUUAUAAUUUGUUUAACCCUCUCACAUGAUAUAUAGUGUGAAAGUUUUCAAUAACAAAAAUAAACAUAGGGAGAUAACUAUAGCUCCAAAGUUAUUGACUUGUGUACAAUGGUGGAAAAAUAAUUAUCACCUUCACUUUAGUUCAACUAAAAUUUAUGUUCAACCUAAAAAAUGAAGGUAAUUUACAAGACCCUGUUUUGCAGUAAAGAAACUAAUAUUUGGUAAUUGACUGUCAAAAAUUAAAGUCGGUAACUUUGUUCAAUUUAGCCAGAUAAAACUUCAGUAGUGAUGAGCUACCAAGCGACGCUUUAUUUAGGCUCCCUAUAUAUAUACUGCCACGUAUUAAUUUUACCUCCAUCCAAUCAUCCGUAUCUAUCUUUAAUACCAAAUCUAAAAAUUAUUCUUAAACCCUAGAAGGAAGGACUAUAUAGCUUUAAUACCAAAUCUAAAAAUUAUUUAGGCUCUCCACUAAAGCUUCUUUUUUUUUUUUUUUCCAACUUAGCCUACAAGACUAAAGUUUUGGCAUCACAAAAACAAACACUAUACCGCUGAUAUAUGCAUCCUUUAUUAUUUCUUAAUUAUCUGAUUAAUGUUGAUAGAUAGGUAUCAAGUUAAGUUUAAUAAUUCAGGUAAUGAUUCGGAUGUAUCUAACAUUAAUCCAGUAUGGUAGUGGAGCAUGCAUAACUCAUUUCUUUUGGUUGACCAUUGCAGCGUAACUGCUCAUUAAAUAGAGGUUGGAUUGGAUGCAUCUGAUCACCGUGAAUUUGUCCCGAGUCUAUCCAUGGGGCAUAAACUACAAAACGGAUAAGAUUUGGGUGCAAUAAGUUUGCCACUAAAUCCUGCAUCUAUUCUUAAGUUGGAGGCAAGUGGACUUUAAAUGUGCUUUGCAAUGAACACGUGUCCUCUAAACUUUAGCUAUGAGUCAUAUAUAUGGAGCGCACACUUGGCGUUGAUCUAGUCCUAUGAUGAUAUUAGGCACCCGAAAAAUGAAUUAUUAUUUGCAGAAUUAAUGUAUGGUACGUUUAGGAUUCAUAACAUUUAAGAAACUUUAUAUAUUUUAUGUUUGAAAUGAUAAGAUUGUUAGAAGUGUACAUACUUUUUUUUCUUUUUUCUUUUUUCUUUUUUUUGUAAGAACGUACAAAACUUAUCUGAGCUAUAUAUAGAUCAUUUUGAAUCAAUAAUUUAACGUUUUAAAAUUUUAAUUUUACUGUUUAUUCUUUCAAUUUGUCUUAUUUUAGUCAACCAAACAUACCAAACAUACUUUGACCUUAAAAUUUGAAAUAAUUACUUAUUUUAAUAAAUUUAUAAUUACGAAAAUUAUAUGACGUAUACUAACUGAAUCAGCAAAUUAAUUAAGAUAAACGAUACAUUCAAAUUUUAAAACAAAAGUACUGAUGACGAACUCAAAUUAAAUAAAUUGAAAGAUUUGGUAGAAAAAUUAAAAUUUUAAAAGGUUGAACAGCUAGCUCAAAAUGGUUUAUAGUUCAGAUAAAUUUUGUAUAGUUUUACCUAUAUUUUUUUUAUAUAGUAAACUAGCUACUCACAGGUUACCAUUCUCAUCAAAUUUGAGAGUCAUUGAGCCACGUAACUCGUGAUACUCUAAUAUGACUACUAGUUGGAAAUUUUGAUUUUAUAAUUUUACCAAUAAUUACAAUUUUAUAAUUUGAAUUGUAUGCUGAUGAUUAGAAUAUCCUAAAUAGAAAAUAUAAAGAGUUAUCGAAAUAUCAAAAAUUGUGAAACAAAUCAAACGUCCUAAUAAAUAGUUUUGUACCAAAUUAGUAAUGUGGUAAUUUUCUUUUGGCUAAAUUAUAUUAAGCUUUUUUCUCAAAAUUCAAUUUUUCAUUUUUUUUCUUUUGUCAUUUAAAAACCUACGCUUUGACUCCUUAUAAAAUAAAAAAUGUUCACAGAGAGAUACGGUGUGAACUGUGAUGACGACAAAAUGACCCUCACUAUUUUCGUCUCCUCUCUCAUCUCGCUCAUCCGCUGCCUCCGCUCUUCAAUUUUUCGCGUCUCGAUCGGCCGGAGUUUGUCUCUAUUUUUUUCUUCGCCUACUCCCAUUCUCCUCCAGUCCUCUCGUCGUUCCUCCAUUUCGGCGACAGUAGCGAGAAAAUUGAAAUGGAAGGAAAUCGAGAAAAUCGAGGCGGGCAAAGACAAGGGCGAGGGCGAGGCAGAGGAGGGCGAGGCAACAUAAGAGAUGGCUGAGGAUAUUUUUGGCAUAAAAAAUAUAUAAGAAUAUUUUAUAAACGAAAUUCUAAUGGAUCACUAACGGCAGAGAUGAAUGAACAUUUUUUAUUUUAUAAAGGGGCAAAGUGUAGAUUUUUAAAUGAUAGGGGGGAAAGUGAAAAAUUAAAUUUUGACAGAGUUUCUUUUGUAAUUUAGCCUUUUUCUUUUUUUUUUUUGUAGUUUUUUUUGUUUGUUAUAAUUACCAAUUUAUUGAUGAGCUAGCCUAUUCCAUUCUCUUGCAAAUCAUACAAAUUACUUAAAUAUUACAAAUUCUUUCUUUAUUUCCACAUGUAAUAUAUCUAAGUACUACUCAUAGCGUUGCUUACAAAAGAAAUGGUCCGUGUAGGGAUUCGGGAUGUCCCAAUGCAUGCAACGUCAAAACAAAGCGUUACCUAUGAUAAUUAAGUGACAUAUAUAGGUACUAAUCUUUAAUUUGUAAAAUGGUACGUACCUAUAUUGUUUUUUUUUUUUUUUUCAUAGCAAUCUCUUGUGGUACCGUCCAUAAAGCGUGUUUAUUGGAUCUGAAUCUAGCUAGGUGUUGAAUAAUUAUGAUUUUAUCGGGUGCAAAUUAAUGUUCAACAUGGGACCAAAGUGGAUUAUUGGAUGUAUAAAUUAAUUCUUUUAAGGCACAUCUAUCACGACCAUGUUUUUUUUCUUUUUUUUCCUCUUUUCUAAUAUAUUGAAAUAAUAUUUAGACCACUAAUUCGAGACAAAGCCGUUCUAAUUUGAUAAGAAUCAAAAUAUUGAUUUGAUCAACCUAAAAUAAAAUGAUUAAUUAGCUCGAGAGCUUGUUUGAAUUAUACUUAGUUGACUUGUGUUUGGAUUGUGUAAAUUAACCUAUCUGUAAAAAGUACAAAUUAAAUUAAUUACAAAUCCAGGAAGAGAACACUAUAUAUAAUGCAUGCACAGAGUGAGAACGUAGAUUUACAAGUUUUUAUUUUAUUUUAAACGCUGGUUGGCAGGGGAAUGACCCAAACAAUAGUCGAAAAAAUUGCGUUAACAUGGUUCAUCGCAUCAGCCAAGAACCAACUCCAUAAAUAUAUAAUUUAAUUAUAAAAGAAUCAAAAUUCAGAAUAUAAAUGAGUAAAUAACCAAUGAAGUCUAAAAUGUCUACAAAUCGAAUAUCAUGAAAUUUCUAAGCUUGUAAUCUAAGCAUCAUAGAGUUAAUUAAUUAGAUAUGUCAACAAGUUUUCGGAAAUUUUGAUCUAUGAUUUCUGAUAUGCACUUACCGUCCCUAGUGCAAGUAGCAAAGCGUUUGAUAGUUGAUACCCGAGGUCCUAAGUUCGAAUAUUAGUUGAUUCACAUUUCUAGCUAAGUUUAUUUCUAAAUGAAAUAAACGAAGCAAGUAGCAUGCUAUCUAUCUCUCUUUAAAAAGAAAAAAAGAUUUCUGAUAUACGUGCAUUUAGGUGUCGAAGAAUACAUUAAUUCAGCACUUCAAGCUAAGGUUCUAAAAAUUGAGUUUUAGAAAACUUAUUAUAUUGAUGAAUCAGGUCGAUCUAAGCAACGCAAGAUUUAGCUAAGAUCCAGUAACUAUGAAAUUGAUCAAAUCACGCAACUAAACUAAGAUAAUUGAGCCAAAGUUCUCAAUUAUUAUAUAUUUUUUAAAAAAUGCUAACUCGAUCCACUUACAAUCAAGGAAGAAAUGAAAUCUUAACCUACCACUUUUGGUUACCGUAACAAAUCUAGUUUUACAAUCCAAAAUGAGUUAUAGAAAUAGCGGAGCUCCUUAUGUUUCAAAAAUAAAUAUAAUUAAGAACGCAUUUGAUAGGAUAAAAGUGGGCGGCUUAACCCACAAUUGCAUCAAAGUAUAUGGUGCACAUGUUUUUUGAGAAAAGCAACUCAUUUCAUUUGACAUGGCAGUGAGUUUGCGUACUGCAUGAACUCGCCGUAAAGAGUGGGCGAUUGUCGAUAUGUAACUUCUGAAUACCAAACACGUCCAAACUAUGAACAGAACCGAGCCGAACCGAAUCAAAUCGAAUCGAACCAUGCACGGAGAGAAUCAACCCGGCCCAAAACUAAUCCAAGAGUGGUAAAUAAUUUUUGACCAACUUAUAAUUACGUGGAACGCAUUUUAGUGUCACCUAGCUGGUGGGAUCAUCAAGGGGAAUGAGAUUUUGAUGCUUUUAAUACUCGCAUCAUGGCAAGGAAAUGGUGGGAGUCAGAAGCUGAAAAGAUGGAUCAAAGAGAGAGAGAGAGAGAGAGAGAGAGAGAGAGAGGGGGGGAGAUAAAGGCGAAGGCGUUACAUCUCGGAACUUGAUGCGCAGGGAUCCAUGCCAAACUCCUCCACAUUACCUCAUCAUUUAAUUAUUUAAAUAACAAACAAACAAAAUAGCCGUUAAUUUAAGAAUAACCUUCAAUUUCUCCCACUAACGAUCUCAAAAAAUUAUUAUUCUCAAUUAUAUACUUUAUAUAUAAUUUUGUUUCUAUUUUUAUCUAAAACAGUUAUUAUCAAAUAAGAUAGGGACGUAAAAAAUUUUGGUAAUCACAGUAUAGUUAAAUAUAAUAUUUCAAACCACAGUAAAAUUGGACUGAUUGAACUUUGUCCAUUAAUUUAAUUUAACCAUAUCCUCGUCCCACACACUAACCUACACAUUUAGACAAAAUUAUGCAUGGUCAAAAUAUUUCUUAUUUAAAAUCUUGAUUUGACGAUUCAUUAGUGAUUCAUUUCGAAGAUAUGUAGCUUAUUCAAUUGAUGGUUGUGUAAUGCAUAUGUACAUAUAUAUAAUAUCUACACUAACUCACUUGCUACUAUCAAUGAUAAAUAAUUGUUCAACUUUACAGAAAACUUAGUUUAAAAUUUAAAUAUUUCGCGACGUGGAGCAAAUUUGUAAAUUUUUUGGUUCUUUUCUUAGAUAAGUCAGGUGAAGAUAACAGUAAAUAAAGCAAGUUAUCCAACAUGACCUGUUUAGUAGUUGGUAUAUCAGGUGUGGAUCCCAAUUCCAUUCAUUUCAAGUAACCUAGUAAUUUGAGGAAGAAACAAUUACUAACAUGACCUAGUUACUUAGUUGGUAUUUGAUUCCGGCCGCAUGAGCGUUUGAUAAAUAUGGAUUAGAUUUCCGACUUUUUGAGUACCAGACAAUUUUAUUCUAAUUGACUGUAUUUAACACGAGUGGUAAAAGGCUUAAUGAUCAAUACCCAAGCUGGUGAGUAUGAAACCUAGUUGCUGGACGUUUCUAAUUAAAUAUAUUUUAAAAAAAAUUCUAAACAAAAUAUGUACGUAGGUUGGAAUUGCAAUAAAAAAAAUCGGACUUAUGCCAACACUUCUUAAAUAUUAGGGCUAGGGCUACUAUACUCUUUUGAGUACAGACUCUUUUAUACUUAUAAAUUUUCGGUCGUUAGAUAAAGGAAUGUACCAGACAAUUAUAUAUAUAUAUAGAGUUGAGCCGGAAUACUAUCGGUAGCAAACGGGCUCCGUUGCCACCCAUUUGUUUUCGAUGAUGGAGUCUCCAAAUCGACAAUCGGCAUCGUUGAACAUGAUCUAUACCACUUGAAGUGUUUAGAAAUCAAAUUUCAUACUUUUUCGAUAUUAUUCUCUUGUUCAUCAAGUGGGCGUAAAAAUGAACGGCUGAAAAUGAAUAUUCUCUAAAAAGUGAUGAUAGUAAUUUUGUAAUCAAGAUCAAGAGUAUAGAUCUUAUUCUAAAUAGUUUAAAAAAUUUUCUAACCAAAAUUCAAUUGAUUUGGAUAGCUUUAUACAGUUAAACUAGAAAACGCCUCAUAUCAACCAUUAAAAUUACAAAUUUUGAAACCCUUUGAUCAUUAGGCCAAUGAUGUUGAAAAUAUUUGAAAUUUGAUUUUUAAAUACUUCAAGUGAUAUAGAUCAUGUUCAACUGCGCCGAUCGUCGAUUUGAAAACUUCAUUAUCGAAAACAAAUGGGUGGCAAUGGAGCCCAUUUGCUACCGAUAGCAUUCCAACUCAACUCUCUCUCUCUCCAUUUGCUACCGAUAGCAUUCCAGCUCAACUCUCUCUCUCUCUCUCUCUCUCUCUCUCUAUAUAUAUAUAUAUAUAUAUAUAGAGUCCAACUACUAUCCUCUUAAGAGAAUAGAAGUUUUUGUCCUAUCAAGUUAUUUUGAAUUAUCAGGACUCUAAAUUGAUAAUCGGCACCGUUAAAAUUGAUCUACACUAUUAAAAAUAUUUAGAAACUAAAUUUUACAAAUUUUAAAAAUUAUUAUCAAAUUUAUCACAAGUAAAAAAUGAACAGUCAAAAAUAAAUAAUCUUCUAAAAAUAGAAGUUAAACUUUUUUUAAUUCAUGAUCGAAGUUAUCAAAUAUUAUCUAAAUAGUAUAAAAAAUUUCUAUCACAAAUUCAAGCGGUUUGGAUUGCUCUACAUCAUUAAACCAGCAGACGACUUACAUUGGCAGUUAAAAACAGUCAAUUUUGCAAUCCUUUGAUCACUAUAUAAAUAAUUCUUAAGAAUUAUAAAAUUUAGUUUCUAUACACUUCAAAUAUUCUAGAUCAACUUUAACGGCUCUGAUCAUCAAUGUGGUGUUUCUAUCAUCAAAAAUAAUUUGAUAGAACAAAAGUCUUCGCCCUUCUAAAAGGAUAGUAGCUGAACUCUCUCUCUCUCUCUCUUUAUAUAUAUAGAGAGAGAGAGAGAGAGUAGGACUAUUAUACUUUUUUGAGUAUAGUUUUUUUUGUACUCAUAAGUUAUCUUAAAUGAUGACGUUUCCGAUUCGAUGAUACAGACUGUUAAAUAUGAUUUAGGAUGUUUGAAAUUUCUAAAAAAUAAAUUUUGUAAUUUUUCGAAACUAUAAUAAAAAUCUAUCAAACUGACAUAAAAUGAAUGGUCAAAAUUAAACAACAUCCUAAAAAUAGAUGACUAUUCUUCAAUUUAAGAUCAGAGUUAUUGAUCCUUAUUUGGAUACUGAAUAGAUUUUUUUAUUAAAAAUUUAAUUAAUUUUGAUUUUUUUAUACUGCUGAACUAGCAAAUAUUCCAUACCGACUGUUAAAAAAUUAUUAAUUUUAAAAUCUUUUGAUCAUAUGAAAAAUAAUAUCAAAAAAUUAUAGGAUUUAAUUUUUAGAUGUUUCAAUUACUGUAAAUCAUAUUUAUUAACAUGGAUCGUCGAUUCGAAAAAUUUAUCAUCGAAAACAACUUAUAAAUACGAAGAUGAUCAUACUCAUGGCCGGACUCGAUCAGAAACUAUUUGACGCGUGUAGAAUAGAUAUACACAAGAAAAACUCUUUAAAAUUUACGAGGGUAAACUUCAAAAACCACCCCUGUGGUUUUGCACUUUUUUAUUUUCGUACCCUAUGGUUUAAAAUAUACCAGGUUGGUGUCAUGUGGUUUCAUUUUUUUUCUUUUCGUCAGCUUCUCCGUUAAUAUUUCGUUAAAUUUUAUAAAAAAAAAAAACUUCAGAUACCCCACAUAGGUUUAUCGAAUAUUCACUCUCGUACACUUUGUUACUUUAUAUAAAUAUUUCUUUCUUUUUACAGGAUAUUAGACCUUCCUUGUAUUAUUGUAUACUAUAUUAGUUUUCUUACCAAUUCAUGAUUCACCAUGUAUUAGCUUAACCUCUCUUUAUAUAAAGAAAUCUUUUGUAAUUUAUCAAACAAGAAAGAAAUAUAUUUCUUCUCCAAUUAUCUUUUGUUUUCAUGAUAUCAGAGCGCGACUAGCUUAAUCUGCAAAAGCUCGUCGUUCGUAUCUCUUGACCUGGUUCUGCCAUGACAUUCGCACCUCCAUCGAUGCCGCCUUUACAGGUUCCUACACCGGCACCUCUAUCAAUGCCGCCUGUACAGGUUCCUACACCGACUAUUGCUCAGCUCGAUGUUUCCGGGCCUAAUUAUCAUGAAUGGUCGGUGUCCAUUCAACUCUUGGUUGAUGCUCUCGAUCUUACUGGACAUAUUGAUGGUGUUGGUCUACCAACCGAUGAUUCCAAACUCAAUGACUGGCUUGUUGCUGAUCGACUUGCUCGUGGAAUUAUUUCUACAUCGGUAAACAUAGACAUUCGGAUGCAGCUUAUCAAUUUGUCCAUCGCUCACCAGAUGUGGUCUCUUCUUCGGCAGAUGUAUGAGCAGCCUAGUUAUGCUCAAUCGUAUGCUGAAUUUCAAGAGAUCUCCAUGGCUCAUCAAGGUGAGCGUAAUAUCCAAGAGUUUUAUAGUUUUAUGCAGGCGCCUACUUCUAUUCACUAUGCUGCUCUUUUAUGCAUCUUGUGCUAUUUGCGAGGAAAUAUUCAUCAAAGUCUAUUCUUUUCAUCCUCUUCCAAGCCUCAACUUCGUGCCUAUUGUGAUGCUGAUUGGGCUAGCGAUCCUACUAAUCGUCGGUCUACGACUGGCUAUUGCGUUUGCUUUCGGGAUUCUUUGAUUUCUUGGCGUUCGAAGAAACAAAAUAUUAUCGCCAAAUCUAGUACGGAAGCUAAAUAUCGUGCAAUGUCCUCUGCCGCCUCAAAAAUUGUAUGGCUUCGCCGACUCCUUAGUGACCUUGGUGUCCAGUUCUCUACUUCAACACCUUUAUAUAUAUUGUGACAAUCAAAGUAUUAUCAAAAUUGCGAAUAAUCUUGUCUUUCAUGAACGCACUAAACAUAUCGAAAUUGAUUUUCACUUUGUGCGCCAUCAUUUUAUUAAUGGAACGAUAUCUUUGCCGUUCGUUCCCUCUGCUCAACAACUUGUUGAUUUUCUCACCAAAUUUCAGACUACUAAACGACAUCAAUACCUUCUAUCCAAACUCUCAGUGUUUACUCCACCUUGAGUUUGCGGAGGGGUGUUACUUUAUAUAAAUAUUUCUUUCUUUUAUUUUAUAUAAAUAUUUCUUUCUUUUUACAGGAUAUUAGACCUUCCUUGUAUUAUUGUAUACUAUAUUAGCUUUCUUACCAAUUUAUGAUUCACCAUGUAUUAGCUUAACCUCUCUUUAUAUAAAGAGGUCUUUUGUAAUUUAUCAAACAAGAAAGAAAUAUAUUUCUUUUCCAAUUAUUCUUUAUUUUUACUCUUUACUUUUAACCUUGUCAUUGAUUUAAUGAAAAAAAAUUAGUGAAAUCAAUAAUAAAAGAAUAAAAAUAAAAUCACAUGACACUAAUUUGAUAAACUUUAAACCAUAAAGUACGAAAGUGAAAAAGUACGAAAUCACGGGGUAUUUGAAGUUUUCCCAAAAUUUAAAUAUAAUAGCUAGAUCGCUUCGAUCUAUUAACAAGUGUUGGGUGCAGUGCAUGAGAUGGACAGAUGUACACGAAUGCAUGCAUAUUAAUAUUAAUUUCUGGCAAAUUUGGGUACAAAUGCGAACAUAAGAAGGGUGUUUGCUGUUUGGGGCCAGAGAGCCAGAGGAGGAAAGAGGAGGGCGGGGAGACGGAGAAGAAGAGGGCAUGUGAAGGGUCGUACUGACGUCCCCCUCGAUCUGACAGCCCUCCGUAGAACCCCCCAUCAGCCCUGUCAGCUGCCAGGAAACAGCAAGACUCGAAAAAAAUUUUUAAAAAAAAUCUAGAAUAUACCUAUUAUAUUACUAACAUUUUACGUUCCCAACCAAUAAAAUGAUUCUUAUUUGAUUUAUCUAUUUUAUUAUAAUUUGCAAAAAAACAUUCUUACUAUAUUUUUUUUAAAAAAAAUAAUAUGAUUAAUUUGUUAAGGAUGACAUGGUACAACUAGGACACAAUAGAAUUUCUUGCAAGACUUGAGAGUCUUUUAUUUCAGUUUUAAAGUAAAUUUUUUUUUCUUAUUUUAGGUUAAUUAAUUGGUGGGCACGUAAAUUACAAAAAGUUUUCCUUGCACUACAACAAAAACGAUCUAUAACGACACUUUUAAAUAUAGGUAUAUGUCAAAAAAGUGCUGUUAGCUAAAAUUACCGACAUUUUUAAAAAGUGUUGCUAUAUGUGGGGUCGCUAGGUAUAUAGUAACAGUUAAAGAGUGUCGCUAUAACCUAAAAGAGUGCUGCUAAUUUACCAAUACUUAUUUAAGCAUUUAGCAACCGCCGAAACUCUAUCUCGUUAGCUUCGAUGGCGGAGGAGGACGACAGGAAAGGCUCUUCGUCUAGAAUUUCAGUGGAUUGAGUGAAGAGAGAAGAAAAGAUGGUAAUUGAUUUUUCUUUUUUUUUUCUUUUCUGUUUGUAAUCGGGCCAAAUAGACUGGGUGUGGUGGGUUGAGUAGAGUAAUCUUUUAUUUUUGGUUGGAUUGGGCUUUAUAUAUAGGCAUUAGUAGAUGUUUUUUUAAAUUUUAGGAUAAAUGGGACACUUACUCAAAAAUGUCCCAAACAUGUGUCCCUAUAACCUAAUUUUGUUGUAGUGUUGGUUCGUUUCAGGAACAUUUUCACUCAUAAAAAUAUAAUUUAUUUGUUUUAUUAUUUUUUCUAAGAUGUUAAAUGUAAAAAUAUAUAAAUAUCGUUUUCUAAGCCUCCGUUUGGUUCGGGGUUAAGGAAAAAGUAGCUAUUCCAGGGAUAGAGUUAAGUUCAGGGUUAAAGUGGGGUUAAAGUUUUUUUGUGUUUGGUUGGGGGUUGGAGUUAGUCUAGAAUAAUGAAAAAUAGUGUUUGGUUGGAGUAGGUGGGAUAAGAAGAUAAUGAUUGAUAAAGAAGGAUAAUGAUUGGUUGGAGUAGGUGUGAUAAGAAAGAUAGUGGGUUAUUAUGAAUAGAAAAUAGUGUUUGGUUGGAGUUUGGUGGGGUUAGGUGGGGUUAGCUAACCCGGGAUAAUUUAUUUGAGGUGGGGUUAGCUAACCCCAUCCAUUUUUUGAGGUGUUUAGGGAUAAUAUGGGGGUUAAGGGGUUAUUCCACCCCUUAACCCCCAACCAAACAAGGGCUAAUAGUUUAAAAUUUUAGAAUACGACUAUUGUUUCAUAUAUUUUACUUUUAUAUAUUUUACAGAAGAUGCUGAGAAAAUUCAGUAUGUUGGAAGAAUCAAAAUUUAGUUGUUAUUUUGCUAGUUGAUAAUCAGGUUGUUGAAUAUAAAUAUUAAAAAUAUAUUUUCUGACAAUUUAUAAUUUGAAAAAAAAAAUAUUUUUUUCACACAAUUUAUCAUGCUUGGUGUCGAAACAGUAGGCCUUUAUGUUGCAUUUCAAUUACUCUUUUCCAUUUAGAAAUGUAUUUUUUUUUACUUAGUUGCAUUUUAUUACUGUUAUAUAUUAAAGUAAAUACUAAAAUUAGUUGUAAAAGUUUACAAAAAUGAAUAAAAAUAUCACAUCCCCAUGCAUGCAACUCAGUAUAUAUCUAUCUAAUUUAUUAGUUAAAUAUGGGAUGUAAAGUUAAAAAAUCACAAAUCUUACUUUGGCAAAAUAGUCUAAGUUAAUAGUUUGUUAAAUAAUUUUAUUUAAUUUACAUAAUUCUACUCCAUUAAUAUAUCUAAAAUUGUCUGAAAACUCAUUUCUAAACAAAUUUAUUCUCGAAUUUAUCAAUUAUUUAAAGUAUGGCCUAAUUAAGAUAUAUAGUGAUAAAAUAUAUGAUGAAAUUUGACAUAAAUUUUAAUGCUAGAGAUAAUUGAGACACGACAUAAAGAACCAAAAAAAUUAUAAUUUAACCUAGAAGGAACUUCAAAUAGCUUUGUUGUAUAAAACAGUAAUUACUAAUUAGCCUAGCUAAUGUUGGAUAUCUAGGCAUGAUCAGGUGAGAAAAUUUAUAUUUUAUAAACUGCAGGAUAACAAAGCACUUUACUUUAUACUUAUAAUCAUUCUAUAGUUUAUAAAAUAUAGAGUUUUUUUGUCAAUUUUAACUAAAAAUUGAUAAAAAAAUUUUUAAAAAAUCUGAAGAUCAGAAAAAGGCGAAGUUGUACUUUGAUCAAUCUGUAAACUGCAGAAGGCCUCUUUUUAAACUUUUCUUUUAAAAAAAAAAAUUGCUGGCCAAUUUUAACCUCUUUCAGUCAACUGGUCUUAGGUGGACUAAAUUAAGAAUUUGCUAAAAUUAUUGACUUUGGACUCAUUGCCCAAUUGGAAUUAGUCGACAUAUACAUAUAUUUACUACAUUAGUUUUAUAUCUGUCACAUUGUUUUCAUCUUAUAUAAUUUUCAGUAUUAUUUCAAUAUAAUAAAAUUAUUAUAUUACUUUUAAUUGGAUAUUUUAUUAUCACACAUUAAUUGUAAAAUUUAGAGGGAGAGAUGGAGGGGAGAGAGAGAUUAUUGCCUGCACCAGAUGUCUAUGUACACUUCAUACACCAAACUACAACCUAUGUUAAAAGUCUGAGGAAAGUUAAUAGUUCUUUUUUUUUUUAAUUAGAAAGCUUGUGAAACAAUUGUUUGCUUUCGAAGCUAACAAAAAAUACAUAUGAGAGUUGUUUGGUUCCACAUAAUUACAACUUUAUUGCCGUUGUUACUGUAUAUAAAUGCAAAUCUGAUGUUUAAUUUGAUGUAUUUGAAUUAAUUAAAAUAUUGUAAUUAGAACUACAUGGGAAGGCUCAACUGUGUAGUUAAAAUUACGCCUAAAUUAAUCGCACAACUGCAAUAACUAGACAGAAUGAUCCAAGAUAAAGCCUACCAACUUAAUAACCUUUUAAAUAGAAAAUUUUCUUUUCCUUAGAAAGGAGGUAAUUUCACCACACAAUAUAUAAAAUAAUAAAAUCUUAUAAAUGCACUCGCCUCAAUCGCAUAAAACCAAACAAAUAUUUAUAACCGCAGCAUGUUCUACUAUAUUUUGAUCAAAUAAGAUGUAUAUAUAUAUAUUUGUAAUUACUGCAUUUCUAACUAUAUACAUUUUUAAUUAGCUAUACUGUAUUUACAAUUACAUUUAAUCAACCGAUCACCUUAGAUGUGCGGUGCAUGAGAUGUAUUUAUACACCCGAUAUAGACAACAAUCCAAGUUAUUUAGAGAGAGAGAGAGAGAGAGAGAGAGAGAGAGAGAGAUGUAGAGAGAGAAGCGGUGGUACAUGCAGAUGCUUUGCAGGGAGGGAGGAGACAAAAACAGCAGCAUUGCAGCUGGUAUGAGCAGCUGCAGUCGCAGUGCAGGUGCAACCCCAGUUGCUGCUAACACGCUUUCUUGUUUCUAACUUCUAACCCAACUCCACAAGCAAACCCACAAGGAUCCAACACCAACUAAGAUUAAUUGCAUACAGAUUUCUCUGUAAAUAUAUUGAAUAAUAUAUAUAUAUUUUAACAGAGUUCAAUUUUUCAUAUUCAUUCCUACAAAAGUUCCCACGUUUUCAAAUAUACUCCUACGUACUGUUAGGAUUCGUUAGAAAAAUAUCGUUAAUCGUAAGUGAAAAUACUUAAUACUGAUUACUCAAUAAGGUGAAUUGAACUUUUUACCCUCUUAUAUUAUUUGUAAUUGAAAAAAAGAAGAACAUGAUCGUUGGAGAUUUUUAGAAGAAUACUUCUGUAUAAUUUAACAGUUGAAAUUUUUUUAGGGAUAUAUUUGUGAUGACAAAAAAAUCAUUUCGCUUAUUUUUUAUUAAAAAAUAAAUAGUGCUGUAACGGUAACAAAGCUGAGAGGCAAAUAUGAAUAUUACUAGAUUUUUGUAAGAUAAAUAUGAAAAGUUGAACUUUAUAGAGAUAUAUUUGUUAUUUAGUUAUGUUUAUAAAAAAUUAUAUGAAAUUAAUUCUAUAUAAAAUUAUAUUAUUUAUAUAAUUUAAAAAACUGUCUUAAGAUUUGUACAGAUAAAAUUAAAGUAUAAAAUUCACAUAGAUAAAAAUAAAUAAGUGUGAAUUCCAUAUUAUUUUGGCUAAUAAAAUAAUUAUGGAAUUACAUAUAAAAGUUUGCAGGAGAGAGAGGGAGAGUACAAGGAGAGCUUUUAAACUUUUUUAGGCUAAUAACUAAACGCCACGUUGACCCCUUUUUUAGGCUAAAAUUUAUAGGUUUUAUUUAAAUUAUGAGUGUGUACUAGCACUUUUAUUUGAUUUUACUGUAAAUUUGACCUCAUAAUAGUUAAAACCAAACCAUUUUGUUAAAUAACAAAAUAUUUUAUCAAGAAUAACUAAUAAAAAAUUUUGAAAAUUACUUAGGGAAUAAAAUAAUAAACUAUAGGCUUGGUAAGGUAAUAUAUUAUACUAUCCUGAGAUUUAUAAAAAGUGUCGUAUUGCUAUUCUAGUAAAUGACAAAUUCAUCGACCAUCCCUAAAGCAAGUGGCAAAGUGCUUGGUGAUUGGUACCCGAGACUCAAGUUCGAAUUCUAGUUGAUUCACAUUUUCAGCUAAAUCUAUUUCUAAAUGAAAUAAAUGAAACGAGUAGCGUGCUAUCUAUCUCUCUCAAAAAAAUAAAAAAAAGGUAGCAUAAUUAACUGAAGUUUUUUGAUAUACAGUGUAGCAAAAAAAAAAUACACAGAACCACAAAAGGAUAAAUUAAAGUAUACUAUAUUUUAAAUUAUAGAUUAUAAAAUAGUAUAGUAAAAUUUCGAAAAAACUUCAAAUACCAUCUCUGUGAUUUCACACUUUUUCACUUUACUAUGUUGUAAUUUAAAAUGUAUAAAUUUAGUGCUAUGUAGUUUCAUUUUUUCCUUUUUAUUAUCAAUUUCACUAUUUUUUGUAUUAAAUUAGUGAUUAAGUUAAAACUAAAGGGUACUAAAGUAAAUAUUCGAUAAAUCUAGGUAGGGUAUGUGAAGUUUUUUUGUAUUUAAUUUAACGAAAUAUUAACGAAAAAGUUGACGAAAAAAGAAAAAUGAUGCCAGAAGGUACUAAAUUGAUAUACUUUAAAUCACAGAGUACUAAAGUGAGAAAGUACGAAAUCACAGAGAAGGUAUUUGAAGUUUACCCUAAAAUUUAAGUGUUAAAUAUCUAUUUGGAAUUUUUUUUGGGGAAAAAAAAAUGAUGCUAUCCGCUUCAUUUAUUAGGAAUAUAAACUAAGCUACAUGGAUGGGAUAGUACACCUCAGUCGAGAUGAAAAAAAAAUAAAAAUAAAAAUAAAAAUAAAAACAAAAGACGAGUGGUGACGUUAAAUUUAUUUUGUGAUGACAAAUUUCUCCAAUAAUUUUCUCAAGUACCUAAUUUUAUUGAUUGCUGCGAACGAGUCUGUAUUAGUCUUUCUAAAAAUCGUAUUGUUUUUGGCGUGUCAAAUUAUUCACCAGCAGGCUAUCAUGUGGAAAAUCAAAUUUUUUGUUUGAGUAAAAUUUAUGUAUUUAAAAAAAUACGAGAGAGAGAGAGAGAGAGAGAGAGAGGAGUACUAAUAAGAGUGUUUAUGUGAUUUAAAUUAACAAAAGAGAGAUGGAGAGAGAGAGAGAGAGAGAGAGAGAGAGAGUA
rnacentral:lncRNA from 1 species